rnacentral:sRNA from 1 species
GUUACAAAUAUUUAACCCCAUCCACAGGCUCACAGGUUAACCCUUGACCCCAAGCUGGCGGUGCUGCUUUGGGAGGUGGUGGAAGCUGUAGGAGGCAGGGCCUCAGUUGAGGAAGUGGGUCAGCAUGGCUCUGCAUUCUCAAGACACAACAAUCCAGAGGCAGUGACAUGAAUGCUUGCUCCGUGGACAGGUGGAAAAAUGACUGGGGAUAAAGGAUGGAUGAGAGCAGGACCUGCUGUCUCACAGCAGCGCCACACAGAACCCCACCUGCUGUGGAAUGCACACGAGCCAUUUUAGAGCAUGGGGGAAAUGUGGUAAAAUCCUUUAAAAUCUUCCUGACGAGUAAAUUCCUGGAAAGCAAUUAAUGUGGAAGGCUUUCAGGGACCAGAGGGAGUGGCAGAUAGCUUGAAUCCUGUUUCCUGAGUGGUCAGCCACGGACAUCACUCCAAACCAGGUAGCAAAGAGUGUGCUUUUUACAUCUCUGUUCUAGGAAGAACAUUUGCACAACUUCUAGCAACAUUCUUGGGUCAGUGGCCAUGACCCUGAGGCAAUGCUUAGCGCUACAGUGAUCGUUUGACUCCACACGGUACUACAAAAAGUGAAGCAGUGAAAGCCCUGGGCCACACCAACAAGCACGUGACAAGAGAGACGCUUGCUCAUACGACAGAGGCCUGCAUCCCUUAGGCAGAGUACUGACCAUGAUUGGAUGCGAAUGGAAGAAUGUCAACUAAGGAUUGUGUCUAUAUAGAAAAUCAUUAGCCAAACACCACAGGGCUAAUUAAUGUCAUUUGAAAUACUUUCUGUGUAUGUUGAAUAGAGUGCCGCCAUUAUCAUCUGGCCAAACGAAAUGCCUGCCCAUAAACAACAUGGAGCUAUUUAACAGGAUAGCUAAUUACAUCUCGUCUCACAGCCCCAACUGAUCCUAAGCAACAACUCCCUAAGCUGUGUUGUAGUGCAAGGUAGCCUAAGGCUCUGGGGCAGUUACUGAAUCAUGAGAUUUUACUGUUAGAACUUGUUCGGUGUGUUUAAAAACCACCAAAAUAUUGAAUGGAGUAAAGUUACUAGGGAGACCGCAGCUUGGAAAGAGGCAGAGGAGAUCAAGAUAGAGAGGGACACUUCAAAAGCCACGCUCGGGCUCACAGGCACCUGGCACGAAGCUAAGAAUGCUGGGGGAAUGGGAGGGAAAGUACCAAGCCCUGUGCUUUGCUCCAGGUCACCUGGUUCUAUGCGGCACCCUUGUGGGUGGCCUGUGGCAUCUAUGGCUGGAGGCAGCUGCAUGUGUUUCCAUGGUCUUCAGGUGGCAGGUUCUCUUUUUACCAAGCACUUUGUAUAAACUGUUCCCUUCAGCCUUCCUUCUUCACAUACAUUCUAUAGGAGGUUUAUUUUGGGCCCAAGGCGUGCUUCUCUCUGCAUUUGAUCUCAAAGCAAGCUCGUUGAAAAGAGGACCAGAGACCUAGACAAACCUUAUGGACUUGUGUCAUCCUUCUAUGUAUGCAAGAGACACAUUCCAGGUCCCCCCAUAGGCACCCAAGUUCUCACAUGCUCCGCUGUGGCAUUGCCAUAGAUCUGUACACAUCCCAGUGUGUGUAUUUUGAAUUGUCUCUAGACAAGUUUUGAUGAUAUUGCUGUGUCCAUGCCAGGGAGACAUUUGUUAAUGCUGCAUUGUGUUGGGGAUAAAGACAAGGGGAAAGCCACUCAUGCUCUGUGCAGAGGCAUUUUCAGUAAUCCCCCACCAUGGGGGAGGGAGGUCAGUUAAACCCUAGUGUCCAGGUUGGCUUUUUACUGCUGUGAUAAACACCAUGACCAAAAGCAAAUUGGGGAGAAAAGACUUCAUCUUAUGGCUUAUCGUGCAUCAUCCAGCAAGGCCAGGGCAGGAACUUGAGACAGGGACCUGGAAGGACGUACGAACUAAAGCAGAGACCAUAGAGGAAUGCUACUUACUCUCUUGCCUCCACUGCUUGUUCAUACAGCUCAGGACCACCUCCCACAACGAACUCCAUCCCCCAACCCACGUCCACCUUUAAUCAAGAGUCUUUCCUACAAACCAAUCUAAUGGAGGUAGUUUCUCAGCUGAGUGCUACUCCUCUACUAGUUUGUGUCAGGUUGACAAAUACUAACUAGCACCCUGGAUACAGCAGAUGUCAUGGAUACAAAGGGCUGGCUGCAGUGAUGGGACACUGGCCACCUUACUACCUUACUUCCUACCUACGAUGUGUCAAAGUCCAUCUCACUUUAAACCUAAAGGAGAAAAUAAUUUUGAAUAUUUUUCUUGAUUUUUUUCCCCAAAUGGGAUAUGGGAAAAAAGUACAACAUUACUGGGUCAUUAUUGUUCGUUUUCAGAACAAUGACAGAAUCUGAAAUCAUAUGGGAAAUGGACUCUGGGUUGGAACCCAGAACCUUGUCCCUCCCACUUAGGCAUGUGCUCUUACACUGAGCUACACCCUUGGCCUCAUACCUUCAUUUCUAAAAAUAAUGCCAAUGUGUAAUUGUGAGGAUUAAAGUAACAUGGAGACAAAUGAGUACACACUUCAUGUGCAUCAAAGCGGAGUCAUGCUAGGAAUUGCCUGGAGUGGACAUCUGUCUUAGGAGUUGCCAGGGAUGCUCAUAAUGACUCACAAAGUCUUCAGUGUGCUCCUUGACAUACAGUUUGUGUCACUGGUAUGGUCUUGGCCAGCUGCUCUCCAAUGUUUCCUCUAACUGGCUGCUCUCUGGACAUACCAUGAACCCCUCUGAGAACAAGCUUUUGCAGUGUAUCAGGGCCAACACCACUUGGCUUUUGAGAUGCUAUCUAUGUUUUCCAGCUACAGUGGUUUGUGACAUGCCUGGGCCUGUCCCAGUCUAUCCUAUGGAGACUGUUUACCUGCCUUUUUAAUGCUACAUACAUAUUCAGGUAAGCAGCCUGACGAUGAAUGAUGGCUGUAAGAAGCCAUUUCCAACAGUAGGUUGGGGUCUUGGUGGAUCUCAUGAUGCUCUUCUGUGGGGCUUCUGUAGACUUCAAGGACCAGUAAGCAGUUUUCACCCACAUGGGGGUAUGAGAUGUGAGAGGUGUUUUCUUGCUUUGUUCUCUUACAACUUUUCAAAUUAUAUGAAUGUAAUAAAAAGCAUACAUUAUUAAAAAUUUUAACUAGGUAUUUCACAUAUGGAGCUGUGAAGAAUUUCUUUUGGUGCCAAAAUGUCAUAAGGAAAAAAAGUAUGAGCUUUGUGAUUUGUGGACCUGCUAUGUAGGCAAUCUUUUUCAAAGUUGUAUUUUUCAAGAGGUGUUGGAACAUUUUUCUCCAUAAGGAUCACAGGUGGGAAACUCUUCAUAUACUGCUUCUACAAGUUGGAAAUUUUCCUUGUUUGAGGAUAAUGCAGAAAACAUUCAGUCCUCCAUGUUUGGUUGCUUUAUUUCUUCCUUUAGCCACAUUGCAGAGAACUUUCUAGAAAAGAAUUAAGAAUAUGCACCAAGAAACUCAUCACCACAACUGAGCACACAAUGGUGAGCAAGGUUAUCUCUAAAAUUGUACUCUAUACAUUUUUAAUACUCAAAAAGAAACAUCAAUGUGUCUCAUUUUCUAAUUUGUUAGAGAACAUGUCUGGUAACUGAUUAAACAAGCUAUAAAACACGGGGACCAAAGAGCCUCCAAGAACUUGAAAGACAUAUUACUUGGAUAAGCAAGUAACUCAUGAAAGUGAUGCUAUAGGAAAGAAUUUCUGUACAUCCUCCAUGGCUUGGUCCAAGUGAUGAGCCCUUUUCCAGUCCUUCUCAACAGACUUUAUGACCUACGUCGCCUAUUCCUCUCCUUAAUUCAUUAAACUGCAUUAAUUCAAACUAAUUAUCAUUUAAGCCUUUGACUCUAAAUUUCCUGGAUGAAAAUUUUGGAAUCUCUGAGUCAGAUGAACGUAUUACAUAAGUGCGCCCCAAGGAUUCACAAGCAGAAAACACAUCUUAGCGCUCAGUAAUGCCAGGGGACAUUCUUUUAGGGCAUCAUUCCUCCCUGAUUAUCAUUUUAUCUUCGCUCUUCAGUUGCAAGUCUUUCAUGAAGAAUUUGGGCAACGUUUUAAUUUAAAAAAAUUCCACCAUGCUACUUACAAACAUCAUUUUAAAAAACCUUUUAUUCAAUGGUAUACACAUUCAAGUAACAUUUGAAAUUUUUAAAAUAUAUGCUCAGAAGCAUGUGAACCUGCUGCUCUUGGUUAUUUACCUCACACACCCGGCUCAUGGUCACGUGCCCUUCAGGAGCCUAUUCCUGGAACCCCAUUUGGCAGUUUACCCAACAGAGCAAAAUUAAAAUUUAGAUCCUAGCCCCAAAAUGUUAUGUAACCAAAGCUUUGGUUUUUUGUGACCUUGAAGCGCUAGGUCAAGCCAAACAGCUUGAAUGUAAUUGUGUUUAACUGGAAACUCUGUGUCUGUACAUUUUUAAUGUCCCCAGAUUGCCACAUGAGACUCAGUCUUUAAAUGGGAUCCUUCUGAAGAGCAGAUUUCUUUGGGAGACAGGAUGAGGUAAAUAUGUAGAGACUAAUAUGACACAUGACUGUUUUGCAGGAUGACGCAACCAUGCAGUUGUUUUGUGAUUACCAAGCUCAUGAAGAAUGAACAAUAGACAUUGGAUGCAUUGGUUCAUGCUGUAGCCGCUGUAAUCAGGAAGCUGUGGGAGGAAGAACCCAAGUAGGAAGCCAAUCUGGAUACAUAGGGAUAGCCUGUCUAAGAAAACUAAAAAACUGUAUUCUGAAUACAACCCAAUGGCUUAAAGUAUCACUUAUAAGGAAACUGUAAACUUGCAAAACACUUAGAUUAUUUUUCUAAGGUUCCAAAGUAAGUGUAAUCGGUAAAGUUAAAAACUGUGGAGACAAUUAAGAGCAUGUAUGAGUCAGAUACUGGAAGCCUAGAAAGGAUCAAAAUUUAGAUCAAACAUGGGUUCUACUAAGGAUAUGCCCCCUAGCACUGUUUGGUCAAAGACCCACUAAUAUAUCCACCAAUAAUAAAGAGAACCUGUUCAAGUGUGUGUGUGCUGGAAUGACGCUCUUUGCUUUUCCAUUUUUUCCUGUCCAUUUGCCAGUACCAUUCCUUCUUAGUAUUUGUCGUGGUGGAAUGAUGUUCUGAGGACGUCUGAGGUUGGUACUAUGAGAGUUAUUUGUAAUGCUCAACUUGACACAGUGAAGGGAGGGUCAAUGUGGAAACUUCUGGGCUAGGAUGGCCUAUCAGGGGUGUUUGUGGGCAACUGUCAUGGUUACCUGCACAUGUGGGAAGAUCCGUGUGCAGCAUCUAUCUGUGACUUUGGAUCCUGAACUGUUGAGUGAUCAGAAAGUAGCUCAUUGAUUUCUGCUCCCAUUACUGCGUCUUCUCAGCUAUGUUGAACUGUGACCAGGAAUUGUGAGCCAAAAUAAAAAUUGCUUUUUAGGGUUCUUUAUCACAGCAACAAGAAAUAAAACUAAUCUAGAAACUGAACUUUAAGAAUUUAUUUAAACUCCACCUAGCCCAGAAGUUUCCACAUGGAUCCCAGCAGCCAGGAAAUGGAAGGAAAAAAUAUUCAUUCAUGGGGAGACAAUUAUACUUUCUUGAGCCACUGUACUUUCCGGAGUUAUGUCAUUUUACUGAAAUGGAGCCUUAUAAAUGGCAUAGCCCUGGUGUUUAAAAAUAAUGUAAUAUUCUUUGCAGCAUUCUUACAGAAUGAAUGAAGCACAGAUCCUGCUCAUUCUUCCUGUGUCCACUAUCCACACCAAAAGAAGAUCUACCCAAGUCGAAACCAUCACUCCAUCUGUUACUAUCACUCUUUGGAGUUCAGGACCCCAUCUGCUCCCAAGAGAGCAUGGUUGAAGGUCAGGGGUGGAGUCAGGAACAUUGGUUAGCAUGUUCAGCCCGAGUAGCUGCUGAGUCAGCAUCCAUUACAUCAUUUCUGCUCAUUCCCCAGGCCCUUCUCCAGGUCAUGCUGGACUCCUCCCUGCCAUGUGUCCUGCUCUUGGUGUCACCCUGUUCUUUGGCCCCAGUCUCCUCCUGCCGUCCUCAGAUGGAGGCAGACUCCAUGGUCCCACUUCACAUUCUGAGUAACUGUCCCAGCUUCUGGAGAGCAAACAGAACAUGCUAAGGACCGUGACAUGGGAAGGUCAGUAGAGACAUCUAUUCUCCCAGUGAUGCUCAUACGGAAACAAUGUGUGACUGAAGUCAAAUGGAAAUACAAAAGCGUAUUUAUUCCUGGUCUAUGCAGUUCCUUGGACACCUGAUACCUCUCUCCUGCUAACAAGAGUUUCAACAAUGUUCACACACACAGAUGCCCCCAACUGGAGACAUAUCUAUAAAAAAAAUCUAUGAUGAAUUUUACUUGGAGCUAUAACAGCAAAAGUUCAAACAAUAUGCAUUCUUGAAAAACAGAAGAGUAAAAAAUAAAAGAUUACUGUAAUAUCCCAAACAAACAGAGAAGUGGUUGAUAUAUUUCUCUGAAGACUCUGGCUUGAUUCAUGUGUCCCACAGAGCACCAGGGAUCAGGUACCAAUAGGCUGGGUCUCAAGACUUUAGAGUCCCGAGGGUGCAGGGCGUGAGGAGACAAGGUUGAGCUGUAUGAAACAUAAUAGAAAACUUAAAAAUGAAACGAAGAGCGAAACAGCAGAAGUCAAGCAAAUGGCGGACACGGAGAGACACAGUAAGAAAAUGGCAACAUAUUUAGAUGUUGCUGCCUGCCGUGUGCUGUGGCUGCUGUGGCUACUGCUGUGGGACCAAGAGGUGAGUGACCUUCCUUUGGAACAUGGAAGCUUUGGCUAGAUGCCAGUAUCCAAACAUGGUAAACAUGAGACAGACACUGUCACUGCUAUUGUUGCAAAGGACAGAUUUUCAGCACUCGCUGUUGUAGAAUUUAUUUAAUCCCAUUCUAGGGUUCCUACCCUGCCUUGAUUAUUUAGGUUUUGGAUAAAAGACAUAUAUAACUUUAUAUUUAUCAUAAGCUUUAAACUGCAAAAGAGCCUGGCAGAUAUCUAUCCUCUAUGUUAUUAGAAUUUUUUGAUAAACCUGAGUUAUUAUUUGUUGGGUUUUAUUUAGGCUGUUUUUAAUUUCAAUUGACCAGCUCUCAGGGCCUUACCUAACCCAUUGUGGCUAUUCAUUUAUUUAUUGUUUUUUUUUAAUCCUCCAAAGCCCAGGAACACUAAACCCUAAAGGGGGUAGAUAUCUGCUUAGCUUAUGUGCUGUUUCAGGUUUAUUAUAAAAAUGAAAGGUAUAUGUUUUCUAUCCAGGAACUAAAUGAUCAAGGCAGUGUAGAAACCCUGGAUUGAAAUUAAAAUCUUGUAUAACAACUUGCCAUUCAGUCAUCAAUAUAGUUUACUUUCCUCUUGCAUCUUGCAUCUUGUUCAUAAUUUUUAAG